UGUGUGCACUUUUCUCACACUGCAAUGUUUUUUUGUGCCCCUAUGUGUUCAUCUGCCUAGAGGUGUGGCUCAGCUGUACCCAGCAUAUGGCUCUACCUCAAGGGAGGUGUGUGUGCGUGUAUUCUUAGUGUGUCACAUUGCUUUAUGGCCCGGAGAGGAGGUAGGUGUGUGUCCUCGCUUUCUGUUUCUGUGUGUGCUGACAGCAUGUGGCCCUGCCCCGACGUGUGGCCCACCUGUACCCAGCGUAUGGGCUCUACCUGUACGAAGAGAGCCAGUACACUCAGGACACCUGCAGAUUCAAACUGACUGGCACCCCUGUUCUCUUCCUACUUGGAAAUGCAGGCAGCUACAAACAAGGCAUGACCGUUAGUGAUGUCACUCUCAACUCCACUGGACUUCUGCACAUCAUUGAACUGCAGCACGUUCACCAGGUCUAUCAGGCGUUCAGAAUCUCAGUCGUAAGCCACUGCAAAAUAACCAAAGGAGUGUUCCCUCGGUAACAGAAAUAUCAGUCAUGCUCCAUACAAGUCAUCCUGACAACACCUCUGGUGUCCUGCUGCAGGUCCACACCGCUCCCAAUUGCCAGUAUAAGAUCUGACCCAUCACACGACUCUUCCAAGAGGACCUCUACACUCCAUAUGUCCUUCUGUGCACAGAAGUCCGUGAAGAGGUUUCUGCCCCAUCACGCCACUCUUAUUAAUCAAAUAAAGCAAUGUACCUUUA